rnacentral:rRNA from 1 species
CGAAUGGGGAAACCCCGCUGGGCGGCGUGCCGACCUAGUGACUCCCGCCUGAAUAUAUAGGGCGGGUAGAGGGAACGUGGGGAAGUGAAACAUCUCAGUACCCGUAGGAAAGGACAUCAACCGAGACUCCCGUAGUAGUGGCGAGCGAACCGGGACCAGGCCAGUGCUCUUGUGAAAUAAAGACGAACGAUCUGGAAAGGUCGGCCAUAGUGGGUGAAAGCCCCGUAGUCAUCAAACAGCAAGAGACUCGAGUAGGGCGGGACACGUGAAAUCCUGUCUGAAUAUGGGGGGACCAUCCUCCAAGGCUAAAUACUCCUGACUGACCGAUAGUGAACCAGUACCGUGAGGGAAAGGCGAAAAGAACCCCGGGAGGGGAGUGAAAUAGAUCCUGAAACCGUGUGCAUACAAACAGUCGGAGCCUCUUCGUGGGGUGACGGCGUACCUUUUGUAUAAUGGGUCAGCGACUUACAUUCAGUGGCGAGGUUAACCGGAUAGGGGAGCCGUAGAGAAAUCGAGUCCGAACAGGGCGACAGUCGCUGGGUGUAGACCCGAAACCAAGUGAUCUACCCAUGGCCAGGAUGAAGGUGCGGUAACACGCCCUGGAGGUCCGAACCCACUAAUGUUGAAAAAUUAGGGGAUGAGCUGUGGGUAGGGGUGAAAGGCUAAACAAACUUGGAAAUAGCUGGUUCUCUCCGAAAACUAUUUAGGUAGUGCCUCAAGUAUCACCAUCGGGGGUAGAGCACUGUUAUGGCUAGGGGGUCAUUGCGACUUACCAAACCAUUGCAAACUCCGAAUACCGAUGAGUGCGAGCUUGGGAGACAGACAUCGGGUGCUAACGUCCGGUGUCAAGAGGGAAACAACCCAGACCGCCAGCUAAGGUCCCAAAGAUUGGCUAAGUGGAAAACGAAGUGGGAAGGCUAAAACAGUCAGGAUGUUGGCUUAGAAGCAGCCACCAUUUAAAGAAAGCGUAAUAGCUCACUGAUCGAGUCGUCCUGCGCGGAAGAUGUAACGGGGCUAAGCCAGUCACCGAAGCUGCGGAUCAUUCUUUUGAAUGAUGGUAGGAGAGCGUUCUGUAAGCCUGCGAAGGUGUCUUGUAAAGGAUGCUGGAGGUAUCAGAAGUGCGAAUGCUGACAUGAGUAGCGAUAAUGCGGGUGAAAAGCCCGCACGCCGUAAGCCCAAGGUUUCCUGUUCAACGUUCAUCGGAGCAGGGUGAGUCGGCCCCUAAGGCGAGGCAGAGAUGCGUAGCUGAUGGGAAGCAGGUUAAUAUUCCUGCACCGUCGUAUGAUGCGAUGGGGGGACGGAUCGCGGAAGGUUGUCUAGCUGUUGGAAUAGCUAGUUUUUGACUCAUAGAAGGUGCUUAGGCAAAUCCGGGUACGUAAUUCAAGGGGUUGAGACGAGCGGUCAUGCACCGCGAAGCAAUCGGAAGUGGUUCCAAGAAAAGCCUCUAAGCUUCAGUCAUACGAGACCGUACCGCAAACCGACACAGGUGGGCGAGAUGAGUAUUCUAAGGCGCUUGAGAGAACUCGGGAGAAGGAACUCGGCAAAUUGGUACCGUAACUUCGGGAUAAGGUACGCCCUAGUAGUUUGACCACUUUACUGUGGAAGGAUGAACGGGUUGCAAUAAAAUGGUGGCUGCGACUGUUUAAUAAAAACACAGCACUCUGCAAACACGAAAGUGGACGUAUAGGGUGUGACGCCUGCCCGGUGCUGGAAGAUUAAAUGAUGGGGUGCAAGCUCUUGAUUGAAGUCCCAGUAAACGGCGGCCGUAACUAUAACGGUCCUAAGGUAGCGAAAUUCCUUGUCGGGUAAGUUCCGACCUGCACGAAUGGCAUAAUGAUGGCGGCGCUGUCUCCAGCAGAGACUCAGUGAAAUCGAAAUCGCAGUGAAGAUGCUGUGUACCCGCGGCUAGACGGAAAGACCCCGUGAACCUUUACUGCAGCUUGACAUUGAACUUUGACCUUACUUGUGUAGGAUAGGUGGGAGGCUUUGAAGUAGGGACGCCAGUUCCUAUGGAGCCAUCCUUGAAAUACCACCCUGG